AUUGAACGCUGGCGGCAGGCCUAACACAUGCAAGUCGAGCGAGCGGCGGACGGGUGAGUAAUGUAUGGGGACUGCCCGAUCGAGGGGGAUAACUCCUGGAAACGGUAGCUAAUACCGCAUACUAUCGGAUAACCCAUAUGGGAUUAGCUCGUAGGUGAGGUAAUGGCUCACCUAGGCGACGAUCCCUAGCUGGUCUGAGAGGAUGAUCAGCCACACUGUGACUGAGACACGGCCCUGACCCCUACGGAGGCAGCAGUGGGGAAUAUGGCGCAAUGGGCGCAAGCCUGAUGCAGCCAUGCCGCGUGUAUGAAGAAGGCCCUAGGGUUGUAAAGUACUUUCAGUCGGGAGGCGUUACCGACAGAAGAAGCACCGGCUAACUCCGUGCCAGCAGCCGCGUAAUAC
rnacentral:rRNA from 1 species